AAGAGGUGUAUAAACUAUUAGAACUGCUAACUCUAAUCCCCAAGAAUAAAAUUCCUGGACCUCUUA
rnacentral:tRNA from 1 species